GUGAGAGGUCCAAGUGGGUUCCUGCCAAGGACGUGUGUGGAUUGGGGGAGUGUGGAGACAUGGCCAGAAAGUCUUGAAAGUCAGAAAGGCCAGAAAGUCACACCAUGGGGCCUUGAAUGCCUGGCUGAGGCGCUGGGGCUCCAGGCAGGCAACGGGAAGCUACUGAAAGGGGUUUUUGUUGUUGUUCAGAGAAAUAAUACCAUUAGGGAUGACUUUCAGGCAGGGUGACCGGGCAGAAAGGGGUUAAGUCAGGGGAAGGAGCUCCCCCGUGGGGGUGGAGGCAGUUUGGUUGCCAAAAGACCAACAGACCAUUUAGGUGUUGCACAUCAGACAAUCAGAAAAAUCUGUCCAGAGAUAAUGGCUGAACCCUUUCCCGAGAGAACAGACAGCAGAAGGUUCUGGUCAUUUCCUCAGGGGAUAGGGAAGGAGGAAGCAUUAGAACACAAGAGAAGCCAAAGAGAAUGUAGCCAAGAGGAGAGACACCAACAACAGCCAGGCGGGAUACAGGUUUCCAUCAAGAAGUUACAGCCAUGAUUGAGAACCCCGGCCCCGGAGCGCGGGGCUGUGGGAGUUGGAAUCCCAGCAGCCUAACUAGUCAUGAUUAGCACAGGGACUUCAAAGAGUUUUCGAGUGUUUGUUUCUUCAUAUAUGAAAUGGGGGUGAUUUCUAUCUUCAAGGGAUGUGGGCAUUCACCGAGAUAAAGUUCUUAGUGUACACAGUAGGAGCCAAGGAGCGAAGAGGACCCGCGGGAGAAGCAACUGUAGAGAUUAAGGGUGUUCGCUGGAGGAGCAUCUGGAAAUGGAGGAAAGGGACCCUCCAGAAGCCCAACAUUUAGCCGGGAUCGCUGACUGCUCUGUGAGAGUUGGGAGUGAGCUGGUCAAGGCAGCCUCAGCCCAGUCCUCACCCCAAAGCACAGUCCUUAAGCCGACGCUUCCAUCCUGCCACGCCUCCCAACCUCCCGCCCCCAGCUUCCCGCGGGUCUCCCACGCCAGCCAGUUCCAGGACCCCGACGCGCAUGCGUCUUCCGGCGCCCCUACUCAGCUUUCCACGUUUCACUUCCCUCCCUUUUUCCUCCUCAGCUCCCACUCCACCGCCGCGAUUGGCCAGCGGGCCUCCCCACUUCGGCCAAUAAACGCCGCUUUCUCGCCCCCGUGUUACUGGGUAGAACAAAACAAAAACAAACAGAGCGAGAGGGGGCUGAGACGCUCUGAGGCGGCGGCAGAGGCUGAGCAGCGGGUCUCGGCCGGCGGACCGGGGACCUGGGCGAGCAGUGGCGACGGCGGCGGCCCGAGGGAGAAUAGAUCCAUCUAAUAGGCAAACCAUUCUAUUUAGAUGUAAACAUAGUAAAGCUAAGAACAUAAGCAGCUGUUAUAUAAAAUAGUGGUUGUCAUAAAAGAAGUACAAAAAGUGCUAGGUAAGCACAGAGGAAAUUACUUCCUGUUGGAGAGAAUCUGGAAACACAUCUCCAAGGAUAACUAGGACAUGGAAACAAGAGUCAUGAAAGGUUAGUGCUUCAAUGAUUAAUCUUGGAAGAAACAAGAAUAGUUCAUUUUGGCUACAGCAUGAGUAGUAUGGAAGUAGAAAGAAAUUAAGUAAAGAAGUUAGGUUUGCACCCUUGUUGACUGGCUGGGUAAAUACAAUUUUCAAUUUACCUGAAAGUUCUCCUGGUCUUUUUUCUGGCAACGUUAGGCAUCCAACCCAGUAUGACCAAGAUGACUUACAGUUCUUGACUCAAGCCUACAGAAGGAACUACAUGAGAUAAAGUGUAACAACUCUUGAAAAGAACCAUAUAAAAGACUUACGGUAUUUUUAUGAAUAUUCACAAGCAUUAAGUUAUUUAAUACAACGUAGGCGUGGAGGAUUAGGACGGUAGAGCUUCACCCAGCACCGCAGUCAUUGGUUUUAAGCCCCCAAAGGAGGAGAAACAAAAGGAAUAACGUAAUGUUAAGACAAGAGGCGGGGAAGUAAGACUUAGAAGUGUGGCCGCUGCAACCACCUCCUUCCUUUCUAGGCGGUAAUGCAAAACGAUUUCCUCAAGCUCCAGAAUUCUCUGUCCUCCAAAGAUCAGGGCGCAAGCACUUAAUAGGAACUUAAGGGGCUGAGGUCAGGAGCUCCAUCUUGCGGGAGUGCCCCGCGGUGCGCGCCUAAGCCCCCUCCCCACCCGGCUGGCUGCCCCCGGGCGCGAGGGACCGAUGGAGCGGCCUCGCCCCACAGGGAAUCUCAGAGGGGCGGGGGUAGAGCGGGCAGGCCAGCCCGGAAAGAAAACCUUCUUCCAGCGGAAGCGGCUGUGAGCCCUGCUCACCCCUCGCUCUCCGUCUCCUACCGGCCGUCUAGCUGUGGGCUGCCUCACCGGACAAGGCAGACGGACCCACAUCUCACUUUGCGACUCCAGCUGGAAUGGGCACUCCCGGUGAUGCUGGGGUCUCUGGCUAUUCCCACCCUUCCGCCGUGACCCCAUUCAGAAGUGCCAAAUGCAACUUCCGGGCAGGACAGGGAUUUUCGGAACCCUAACCUUUUGUCCACCUAGGUAAGUGACCAGACGUCCCAGCAAAAUAAGGGUCAGGAAACCUGCUCCUUCCUCUUCCCCAUCCCGGGCAGGUAGUUCUAAAUAUGAAUUAAGUUGUCUAACCUGGGAUGUCUGGUCACCUUUGGUCCUUUACCGGGCCUACUUACAGAUUUAUCUUCCCAGACGGCUCGACUGUUGCCCAGGGCAACGGUGAGAUUUGGGCGAAGGGAAAACUACGUCACACAGGAGACGGGAGGCCAGGAAACUCCCUGCCAUUAUCAGUUAUGGCUGCUUUGGCUUCAACAGUAACUUCCGAUUGCAAGUUGUCACUCUACCCUGUUGGAGGCUUACUCUGUGGCUCCGCUUGCCUGCGGCGUCCAGUGGGCGGGAGAGGGCGUAGAGCAGCCGUGUGGAGGAAAAGGGCGGAGCGAGGGAAGCUGGCUGCAAUGUCUCACUCUGAUUGGGCAGCGUCUUUGGCGCCAGCGCCUCACUCUGAUUGGGCAGCGUCAGUAUGCUUGGCUCCGCCUGUUUUUCUUCUCCGGCGAGUGACGGGCCUGAGCCGGAGGGGNNNNNNNNNNNNNNNNNNNNNNNNNNNNNNNNNNNNNNNNNN
ensembl:lincRNA